rnacentral:rRNA from 1 species
CUACGGGGGGCAGCAGUGGGGAAUAUUGGACAAUGGGGGAAACCCUGAUCCAGCAAUGCCGCGUGUGUGAAGAAGGCCUGCGGGUUGUAAAGCACUUUCGGUUGGGAGGACUGCUUCUAGCACUAAUAUUGUUGGAAGUUGAUGUUACCUUCAGAAGAAGCACCGGCUAACUCCGUGCCAGCAGCCGCGGUAAUACGGAGGGUGCAAGCGUUAAUCGGAAUUACUGGGCGUAAAGCGCGCGUAGGCGGCUAGAUCAGUCGGGUGUGAAAGCCCCGGGCUUAACCUGGGAACUGCAUCCGAUACUGGCUAGCUUGAGUACAGGAGAGGAGAGUGGAAUUCCACAUGUAGCGGUGAGAUGCGUAGAUAUGUGGAGGAACACCAAUGGCGAAGGCAGCUCUCUGGCCUGAUACUGACGCUGAGGUACGAAAGCGUGGGGAGCAAACAGGAUUAGAUACCCCAGUAGUC